GUACUGUGUUUACUUCCCCUUUGUCUCAUUAUCUAGAUUCUGUUCACCUGUGUCUCAUUUCCCCCAGUCGUGUUCACUUCCAUGAUUAGCUUGUGUGUCGUUAUAGCCCUGCUCUUCUGUUCUUUGUUAAAGUGUCUGUGAUUCUUCUCUUUCUUGUUGUUUGGAGUCUGUGUUUCAUGGCCUUCACAAACAACCUAAAUAAAACUGCUUGCUUUUUGUUCAGUCCAGCCUGCCACCCAUGUGUACAUUUGUUUAUGAUAGAUGUGUCACAGGGAUGCCUCAUUCUGCAAACAGGACUCAAAGCAUCCACUGUCAGCAUUUUGGUUCAAGACAGUACAGCACAAUCCCAGAGGUCCAGUUCCCACACCUAUCAGCUCCUGUCUCCAGGGGGUAUACAAGGCAUUCCCAAAGAAGCAGCCAAGAAACAUAAUCUCUCCAGGGUGUCCUGGGUCAGACCAGAGGGUCUCCUCCCUGGUGGACAUACCCAAAACACCUCACCAGGAGGUGCCCAGGAGGCAUCCUAGUCAGAUGCCUGAACCACCUCACCAUGUUCCUCUUGAUGUAGAGGACCCGCCAAUCUGAGCCAAUCUCAAAAGACAGCACUCCUCUUCCUUUCUGUCAGCUUGAGGGCAGACAAGUUUCAGAGUUUAGGUGAGCUGGCAGGUGACGCACAGCCACACAUAACGUAAGCACCUAAAGAUCCCAAGCACAGGCUGCAGUGAUGCAGAGCAAUGACUUCCAGUUCUGUGUGCAUGUUUACAGUCUGCUGAUACAGAGCUGGAUGCAGGAGCAGUUGAAUCAUGAUGUUUGAGGAAUCACUGAUUUUAUCAAACAAAUGUCAUUAUAUAUAAAAGAUCAUAUAUGAUCAGCUUUCUUUUGAUUUGUGCUCUUGUGGAGAAAAAAAAUAAACUCAGACCAGAGCCACUUUGGUCUGCAGUGUGACCAUAGUCACAUAUGGGUACUAUUAGGCCAAUAGACCCAAGCAACACAUAUAGGGAUAGUCAUGAUUUCUGAAUAUUUCAAUAAACUGGCAAAAAAGAAGGAAAAAGAAAUUACAGUAUUACUAGGCAAUGGUUAGCACUAUGCAAAUUUCUCACAGCAAGAAGGUCCUGGGUUCAAAUGCACCAGCCAGGGGAGGCCUUUCAGUGUGAAGUCCUGGUACUCCAGCUUCCUCCCAAAGUCUAAACACAUGCGUGGAUUAGAUUAAGUGGUAAUCCUAAAUUGUCCAUAGGUAGGAAUGUGUCUCUCUCUCCCAGACUGGUGACCUGUCCAGAGUGUACCCCGGCUUUCAUGCUAUGACAACUGGGACAGGCUCCAGUGCUCCUGCAACCCUGAACUGGAUAAGAUGGAUGGACGUUACUACUCCCAGAUGGUGGUGGUAAUGCGCUUAGAAGCAGUUUGGCCGCCACCGUUGUACACCAAGCAUGUGUGGCAUUGCGUGAUUACUAGCUGCUGUAAGAAAAAGAGAAACUGCUGCAGACCCUCAAAAGGUCCUGUGUGGGGGGGAAAUGAGGUCAAGUUCAAACUCUUUCAGCUAAGGCAUAAAAUCUGCCAAAAACAUUUGGAAGUGAACUCAGAUGGAUGAUCUAUCACUGAAGGUUUCUAGCUUUUGAGUAAAAGAAAUAUUUCAAGUUUGUUUUUCUCCGAUACCGAAUCAUGAUGUUCGCUAUGGUUCAUUCAAAACUGUACUGGGAAAGGCUUGAUUUGACAUAAUGUUGUCCUUUUUUAAGUACUCUGACCAUAAAAUUGCCAAAUGAAAUGAGAAAAUUGAUCCAGGAAUUCAAACUAUGCAAUCUAGGAUUUUAAUAACGCAAUUCUUUUAAAUCUUCAAUUUAAAAGAAUCGAAAGCAGUUUAGUCCGAGCGUUCUCUGAAUAUCUUUAAGUCUAAUAUAUGCAUCUGUCAACAAGCUGAGCAGUUCAACUUUGACCAAGAGAAAAUGUCAUCAGUUGUCCUUCUGAAAAAGCAACACUAAUUGCUUUGAAAGUGCUCACCAAAGAAAAGCCACAACCUUGAGUGAGUGAGCCAUGUUUGUAGUGAUUGAGAGAUCACAAAUUCUUUGUUGGGCUGAUGAAUGAAUUUAUUUCCACAGCUCAUCGUGCACGGGCAGGCAUGUUAAUUAAAAGCUUGCCGAUGCUCUUGAACUUAUUACCUAGCUUCCUGCUAAUGAGCCAAAUUUUUUAAAAAAUGAAUGCAGCAGCAAAAACAAGCUUUAUCUAAGAGGACACUGGAGGGGAAAAAAAAUCACUUACAGCUCUUUCACUACUUCACCUUUACAGAGAAAUAACUCUUUUUCUUCCUCACUGCCCAUAUCUGCGCUGUAAUGGCUAGUAAUUUAAGGGAAAUUAACAUUUUGACAUGCUCCUCAGGGGUUGAGAAAAAGUGAAGAGGGGAUAAGAGAAAAGAAGAGGGAGGGAGGAUGUACAGGAGAUAGAAAAAGAAGAUGAAUUAGUAUUUAAUUCUGUAUGGUAGAAUAUUUAGUCCAAGGGUUAAGUGCAGUGGAGCUAACCAUCUUCUGUACUCCUACAGGUUGAGAAGUCCUAAAAAAACACAAACAAAACAAAAACGCAGACACAGCAGGCUGAGAUGACAGAAGACAUGACCACCAACCUCUGAGAGCAGAUUUCAAAUUUAAUUGUGGUUCAGAUCGACUUUUUUUUAAAGUAGAUUCUCAAAUG